UACCAGCACCCCGAGUGGUCGGGACGAUUAUUGGGCCUAAAGCAUCCGUAGCCGGUCAUGCAGGUCUUCCGUUAAAUCCAGCCGCUCAACGGUUGGGCUGCGGAGGAUACUACGUGGCUAGGAGGCGGGAGAGGCAAGCGGUACUCAGUGGGUAGGGGUAAAAUCCUUUGAUCCAUUGAAGACCACCAGUGGCGAAGGCGGCUUGCCAGAACGCGCUCGACGGUGAGGGAUGAAAGCUGGGGGAGCAACCGG
rnacentral:rRNA from 1 species